rnacentral:lncRNA from 1 species
AAAAAGAAGAAAAGUUGACCCCCCUCUGAACUGGUCUUCCUCAAACACCCUACGUGACAAAAAACAAAACCCACACGCAAUAGACAACGGGACUCGCCGGAUUCUCACCUUUUUCCCUCCAAGCUAGUAAAGAGCUCGUUGAUAAACACACACACGCAGAACUAAAAAAGCUGUGGUUUCGAGUUUGCUUCCGAUUUGGUUCUUCCAAAGCUUCUGCUUGAGUUUGUUCAAUAGAAAGUUUCGACCUCUGUUUCAAUCUCGGCUCGUGAAGUUUGAUUGAGGUCGUAUUUGGGUUUCGAGCUGUCCGUUAGCAGAUCCGAGGCGCCGAUUCGAGGUCCGCUGAGUUUGCAAUUCCGAUUCAGAGUCGUCGUUAGUGUUUUUCCGGAUUGAUGUUCGAAGCCGUGUCGAGGUCCGGUUGUGUUAUUGCUUCGUUUCAGUCUGUAUAAUUCCAGGUUCAUCUCUACUUCAUUGGCUUCUCCUUUUCCGGUUUAAUCAAUUCAGGGGAAUGUUUUAUCGAUUGCGUGAUUUUGUCUAAUUCUAACGAAUAUACACAUAUCCAAUCAAAUUGUUUCUCUGUGUUUGAUUUCAUAUUGAGUAUUAACUUCUGUUCGUUUUAGUAAUUUUCGUCGCUAUUGCUUAUUUGUGCUUAGUUUUGUUCUGUGUUCCUAAUAGGCCGAGUGCACCAAAUUGGUUGAUCCUUCUAUUCGCAAACUUGCAAAUGAGACGAGAAUGGCUUAACUUUGUACAGUUUUGCCUUAUUUCGAUUUGUGGACUGGACAUUUCUUGAAUGCAUUUCCUGCGUUUUCUCUGUUCAUUAGCUAGUAACCUUAUCAUCUUGGAUUACUGUUUACGUAUGUUCGACCAUCGUGAAGACUGUUCUUGUAUCGUUUAAUUUUUGGAAGAUUUGGUCAGCACGUAGAGUGGCUAUAGUGGGAUUUUGAUGCAGUUAAACUGUUUGAAGAAAUAACGCAGUAGAAGAACGAAUAGGAAGAUAAUAAACGUUUGUUAAGUGUUCAGACGGGUCCGUCUAUCUCCUAGCGUGAACUGAUCAUGUGCUGUGGUCAAAUUAGUCUUAUCUCUAAUAUUAGUAAAUGUUGUUAACUCUAAAUACUACAUAUAGAAAGUGGAUGACGUACUCAAGUAGUUGCAGCCAGUGGUUUAUUAAUUGUUUAGGUCAUUAUGCUAUGGGAUGUGAUGUGUUUCAAGUUAUUUGUAUUUGUAUUUUUGACUAUAGUAGUGUGUAUUCUGACAUUUGAGUGGAUAAUAAUGAUACAAAUGAUUAUUAGCUUUGUAAAGGAAAUAGUACAUAGCAUAUAAUUUUCAAUCAUAAUUUGUGGUCCCCGCUUAAUUAAUAUUUUUAAUCCUUAGACUUCGAGACGUACCAUUUAGCAAAUUUUAUGGCUCUCGCAAAGCGCAAAGCGCAAACGCGAAAUUACUUUAGGCACGUUAGUUAAUAAUAUUAUUUUCUUAAACUCGGGUGCACAUUGCUGCAACCCAAAUCCAAAUCUCGACGAAGUCGAAAUGUGUUAACGACCACGGGUGCCUUGAUGACGACGUGGCCAGACACGCGUUUUCACGACGUCGCAAUUAUUUUAAAAUAAAUAAUGAUGGAAAGCGGUUUUAUAAAGAAAAAGGGACAUAAGCUAGCAUGUAUUAAAUCAGAUAUAAUCAAAUGCAAUAGUUAAGCGACCGUGCUAGAACUAUGGAACCCGGGAAUGCCUAACACCUUCUCCCGGGUUAACAGAAUUCCUUAUCCGGAUUUCUGGUUCGUGGACUGUGAACAUAGUCAUCUUUUUCCUCAGUUCGGGAUUCAAUCGGUGACUUGGGACACCAUUAAUCUUUCAAGUGGCGACUCUGAAUAAAUAAUAAUUAAAUCCCGUUCCGAUUGUCCUUUAUUUAAGAAAACUCCUUUACGCCCCCUUUGCGGGGGUGUAUAGUGAAAAAGGAGGUGUGACAAUAGCCUUCCAUCCCGCAAGGUGAAUGAACUAUAUAUCCAACAUGUUUGCCAAGUUGGAAGACGUCAAGGGGUAGUUGGAGUUGUUCGAAAAUCUGACAGAAGACCAAGUACAAUGGAUAGUUGAGUGGUUCCCUAUUGAGGAAUUUAUCGCUCGAUCUAGGGAUGCACCAUUUCUGGUACUGAUCGGUUUGAGAGGAACCUACCCUUACCUCCCUCUCCGAGUCACGAGACAGGCUGGUAGGAAGCAGGUUAUACCAAGGGUCGACAAGAUGAGUCACGUUCGGGCUGAAUUUCAGGAUGAUAAUAGUCCUUACAAGUGUCAAGCUCAGCAUAUGUGGCACUGCAAAAUCGUUAUGGGAGGGGAUAUCAUCGAGCCAGAGAGAUACCACGCUGGUUGUACUCUAUAGUAUUCAGGCUGGCUGGAGGAUAAUCAUAAUGGUCUAGCUUAACUCGGAUUUGUUCGAGGUCAUAGGAUCAUUGAUGAAAAAGUUGAAGCACAUGUCAAAUACGACCAACUGCGCAAGAGGAUUCGGGAAUGUGACAGCGAGCAUGGUGAGCUAUAAGAAGACAACCAAAACUAAUUGAAGAACGGAAAGACAUGACUGUCAGUGCCAACAAGCGACUGGGAUACUUGGAGCGGGGUUAGUGGAGCUGGAAAGGAAGUUUCUCUAAAGAAUCGAGGACUGUCAGAAUGCUGGAGGAAACAAGGGAGGACACCUAGACAAAGCCUACCUAUUGAUGUGACUUCGCGAGCUGGUGAAAAUGUUCGAUAGAGCCAAAGAUGCCGAGUCUGGGGAAGGUCCUUCUGGGACCAAGUAGAUAGGAAUUUACUUUUUCGUUUUAUGAAUGUAAUAAGGCCAAUGGACAUUAGUGGCAUUUUUGUUUUCUGUUAUUUAGUGUCGUUUUGGGAUUUGUCUACUUUUAUCAAUAAAAUAAGACAUUUAGCAUUCUAAGUUCUCCAAAUCAACUUGCUGCUAGGCCUACUUCGCGCACACAGAGGUCCCCCAAAUUAGGACAUGAUUUACAUCCAUGCACUAUGUGUUUAAAUAUCGCAACAUUUUUUUUCUUAUAACCCUCAGUGACUUGCUACCUUUGUUUUAUUCCCCUCCCCCAAAGGUUAGUUUGUGCACUCUGCAUCAUCAUCAUAUUCCACAAGAUCCAAUGGCCCUCCAUCGACUCCUCCUCCUAGUCCCCUCACAAGCAGGAACAAAGGAAAGAUGGAAGAUUUGAACAAUACCAGAAAGGAAAACUCAACUGAACGUGUAGAGGUCACUCAUGGUACUCAGGUUUCUAAAGAAAGUGCAUCCUAACUCAAGAAAAAACUAUUAAAAUUUUAGGAGGAACUUGAUCAGGUCCGAAAUCUAGCAAAUCUGUCAUUUUCCCUCACUACCCCAGAGGUCAACAACUUCUCAAACACUCAGAACCCCACACCUCCCCUAAAUAUCCCAAAACCACAAAACCAUCCCGCUCCUCGCCACCACUGCAACACUUGCCACACUUCCAACAAUACUCCACUGCUUAUCCCGGAGCCUUUGAAUUCCACAAACGACCACUUCCACACCCAUCAUAACACCCCCACUCUAUGUGGAAACUAUAUCACGCUCCACCCAACCCAUCUCAAUUACACCCGAGUCUGAUGAUAAAGACUCACUCAUUAGGAACCUGGCUGCAGAACUUAAGUAAUUGACUAGCCGAAUUUAGGGCGUCGAAGGAAGUAAAGGGAUUGAAGGGUUGAAUUACAAAGAUCUUUGCAUACAACCCGAUGUCGAACUGUUUGAGGGGUAAAAACCUCCUAAGUUCGAGAUGUUUGAUGGUAGGGGAUUCGAGAGUUCAUUUAAGAACUUACUACGACAAGCUAGUCGGAGUAGGAAAUGACAAAAGGACCCGCAUGAAGUUUUUCAUGAGGAGUCUGAAAGGAGAUGCUCUAUCUUGGUAAAUUUGCCAAGACCCGAAGAAAUGGUCAAACUGGGUGGGUAUGGCGUCCGACUUUAUAGAUAGGUUCAGGUUCAACACAGAAACUGCACCAGAUGCGUUUUACAUUCAAAACCUAAAGAAGAAGCCCAUAGAAACAUUCUGCGAGUAUGCUACCCGCAGGAGAUCAGAAGCUGCUAAGGUCAGACCAACUUUAGAAGAGGAACAUAUGAACAAGUUUUUCGUCUGGGCUUAAGACCGGCAGUAUUUUGAAAGACUAAUGCUGAUCAAGAAUCAUAAAUUUUCUGACAUCAUCAAGCUGGGAGAAAGGAUCGAUGAGGGUAUCAAGAGUGGUAUGGUUAUGAACUUGGAAGCCUUGCAAGCUACCAAUAAGGCAUUACAGUCUAGCGAUACGUCCAAGAAAAGGGAUGUGGGUGCCGUAAUGGUUGCACAAAGAACCUUAUCCCAUAUCAAAUACCAAACCUAUCCAAUGCCUUCACUCACAUAUCAACCUACUCCAAAUUACCAAGCACCCUCGCCCUCUUACCAAACUCCACCACGUACCUAUCAAUCGGCUCCACCUUCUACAUAUCAACCUACUUCUUCCAGAUAUUCCCAGCCUGCACAUGUCUACCAAGCCUACAAUGAUCAACCAUCCCACCAUCAAUCACCCCCUGCACGCAAAAACAUUCCUAGACCUCGACCGAAUUUUGACCGCAGACCUUCCAAAUAGUAUACUGCCAUCGCUGAACCCAUUGACUAGUUGUACGAGAGACUCAAAGUUGCUGGUUAUGUCACCCCUAUCCCUGCUAUAACCCCUAAAAGCCCUUCUCAAUGGGUCAAUCCAAAUAAAUCUCGUGCAUACCGUUCUAGCAUAAAAGAACAUACCAUUGAUGAAUGUCGCUCUCUGAAAGAUAAGAUCCAGAAUUUGAUUGAUAACAAGAUUAUUGUGGAAAAAGAUCCUGCUUUGAACGUCCACAAUAACCCUCUUCCAAACCAUAAGGGCGGGGAGUUCACAUGAUUGAAAUAGAGGAUGAUUGGGACCCCAAAGGAUCGAUCGAUUUGAUCUUAGAAGGCAACGAUCCAAAGAAGCUAGUAAUCACCCUUAAUCCGAUUGUAGUCCAGAUUCAGCCUUUUGGGAACGCCGAGGUAAAUAUGUCCAUGCCAUUUGAGUUUGAAGCACAGUCCUCUGCAAAGACGCCAACGCCGAUUGAGGUCGAAUUUAUGUCACCAGCAAGCGCACCUACACCCUUCGAAGUUGUAGUUUUGCCGCCUAAGGUGCAUGCUCCGUUCGGAGUAAAGGUGCCCAUUCCAGUAGCAAUGUCAACCGUAACACCAUUCCAUACAAAUGCCCUCCCUUGGGACUAUACAGCCAAGACAAGAAGGAAGGGGAAAGCCAAUUCAGGGAAACCGUUGCGACACAGGGUAUGACGAGAACUAGCGGGGUUUAUACCCCAGAAUAUUUAGCUGAGUCGAGUAAGCAGGCCUCCGGACGGCCGACCAUCUCUAAAAUCGAACAUGAUGAUCUUUGGAGAAAUAUACAAGCCAAGGAAUACUCGGUCAUUGAUCAGCUGAACAAAACACCAGCAUAAAUUUCUAUCCAAGCUUUGCUGCAGAAUUCUGAUGCACACAGGAAUGCCUUGUUAAAGGUGUUAAGUGAGGCAUAUGUACCAAGAAAAAUCACCAGAGGAGAGAUGGAAAAUAUGGUAGGGCAGGUAUCGGAAAGCCACAAGAUCAGUUUUCAUAAAGGUGAGUUGCCACCAGAAGGGUUGAGUCACUACAAGGUGUUGCGCAUUACUGUGCAAUGCAAGGAUUAUUUUAUCACCAGAAUCCUGAUUGAUGGGGGAUCCAGUCCCAACAUUUGUCCCUUGGUAACACUCAGGUCAUUGGGAAAGGGUCUGCAUGAGAUCAAGGAUGGGGCCAUCAAUGUCAAAGCCUUCGACGAUUCCCAAAGGUCCACUAUUGGGGAAAUUAGCAUGUGCUUGCAAAUGGGUCCUACUUAGUUCGAUGUCGAUUUCCAAGUAAUAGACGUGCCUGCAUCUUACAAUUUGUUGUUGGGAUGAUCGUGGAUGCUGUUGGGGCUGUAGCAUCAACACUACACCAGGCAGUAAAGUUUGAAUGGAACCACCAAAAGGUGAUGAUUCACGGCGACAAUAGCAAUCCUAUACACAGUUGACAGACCAUCCCAUCAAUCGGAGGCAGAAGAAAGAUAGGCGGGGAGACCUAUCACCACAUCGAGCGAGUCAAUGCUGUUGACAAGGACAAGUGGUGGGACAACAAAAUUGAGAGCAUACUAAAUUGGUGCGGAUAUGAACCUAGAAAGGGACUUGGCAAAGACCUCUGAGGAACUGCUAAGAAAGUUCAUCAAGUUCAAAUUGAGGUGCGAUUUAUCAUUUCGAUAUUGUUAGGUGUUAUUUGAGGCCUCGGGUAGGUCGGUUUUAUGUUAUGAUACUUGUCGAUAUAUUUGGACGGGGUUCCGAGUGGCUGAUUGAGUUUCGUACGAGGUUCAGAUCAUUUUAGUUUCAUGCUGGAUUGCUAAGGUUGUUGGUUCUAGUGUGACCGCACCUGCGGAUUUAUGGGCACAAGUGCAAAGUCGCAAAAGUGACAGUAUCAUCGCAGAAGCACGAAGGAGAGCUGGACGUGAGGAUCAUAGGUGCGAGUGUUUGGGCACACGUGCGCAACCGCAGAUGCAGAUCACUGAGCGCAGGAGCAUGGUCUCAGAAACGGUAAUGGAUCGCAAACCGGUGAUGACUGUUCAAGGAUUUUCUUUGCAGAAGUGAAAUAUUUUUUGCAGAAGCGGAGGUCGUAGAAGCAAUUUUUUUAACCGCAUAUGCAAAAAUGCUCGUCAGAAACUAUAAAAUUGAGGUUUUGGUUCAUUCUUCAUAUUGGAGAUGUUCGACUCAGAUUGAGGCAAUUUUUGGAGCAAUUUUCAUCAUAAGGAUUAGGGUUAGUAUUCUACACUUGGUUUUGAUUUUAUUUCAUGAAUCUAUCCUUAUGUUUCACAAUUAGUUGAUAAAUUUUAAAGAGGAAUUAGUGGUUUUAGCCUGAAGUUUCAUAAAGUGAACUUACGAGUUUUGAACAUCGAUUCAGAGUUAGAUUUGAGUGAAACUAGUAUAGUUGGACUCGUAAUUGAAUGAGUUGUCGUUUUUUGUGAGUUUUAUCAUGGUUCAGAGGUGCGUGCCUUGGUUGGACUUUUUGGAUAUUUUUUAUCUUUUGAUUAAAGAUUCAACAUUUAUCAAUGGGUUUGUUUCCUUUGGCGUUAUUUAAUGUAUUUAAGUUGCUUUUGCUAUUUUUGAGCCGUUCAGAGCUCGGUACGCAUGAGAUAGCAUUUUUUGGGAAUCGCUUGGCUUGCUCGGUACUGGAAUUUAGCUUGUUCGAGGUAAGUAACACUUCUAAACUUGGUGCUGAGGGUAUCCAAAUUGCGUAUUAUGUGAUUAGUGUUGAGGUGAUACUAGACCUGUCUAACGGGCCGGUUUGACCCGGGACGGAACCGGACCGGCCCGGUAUAAACCGGGACCGGACCGGCCCGGUAUAAAUCGGUACCGAACCGGCCCGGUUCUUAAGGGGUGGGCUGGGCUGGGUUGGGGGGGACGGGUUAGAACGGUUAGGA